UCAAAACUUUGCCAGUUCUCCCUGAUACCUUCAGAAUCUACCGGAGAUUGUCAAGACGUGUUACAAAGUUCCUGAUAGAAUGGUUGAUUUCAACUAAUAAUAUCCUUCCACAGCAUGAUUUGCAAAGAGAGUAGUGCCAUGCCUGUCCAUUCAACACUCAAGUGGCUGUGGCAUUUGCUAGUGAAAUGCCAUUCAGGUUUCCUGAGGGCAGAGCUUGAAUUGUCCAUGGACCAUGAGCUCUAAAGUCUAGGUUUUGCAUUGGGCAGAGGAAGCCUGGGCCUCGCACAUUGGAGGAGAGAAGGUGUUUGCCAGUUGUCCUCUAGACUUAAUGAAGAAUGUUGAUGCUGUCCAAGCCAAGAACUGGUGUUCUUCAGUUGACAUGUAGUUCAUUUGCGGAGCUUGCUCAGGUCACGUACUUUGUCAGCACCAAUAAAGAUGAUUCACAGCACUUGCAGCUAUUUAAACAAGCAGAGCCGUCCUCCCUCCCAAAGGUUCACACUAGGCACUGGGCUUUGUAAUCCCACAGAAUCAUGGAAGCUCAAAAAGACAACUAAGAUCAUCAGAUCCAAGCAUCAGGUAUAGGCCGAAGAGGAAGAGAAAGGCAGACAAUGUGAAACAGCCUUUUCUCUCUCUGUCUGUUCCCAAGUCCUGCAUCAUUCCUGGUUCUGCAAGAUGUGAUGAAAGUACUCAUCAUAAUAAAAAAGCCGCAUCAUCUAUCAGAUGCUGAGGGAAACAACAAACGAAAAAAUUCACCAACUGGAAACAGCCCAUCUGCCACAUCAGCACCAACACGUGAUCAGAAGUUAUCGAUCCUAAAGUAAAUGAGGUCAGCUCUCCAGGACUUCAAUUUCCCUAUACAAGGCAGUGGGAGCUAUGCAAGAGGUCUGAACACUGGAGGGCCCCAGUGAGAAGAGAGUUGCAGAGGUGCUCUGUUGCUUGCGGAGUGGUCAGGUAUGUUUCAGAUCAUAUUACGUAAGCUGAAUUCCACUGAAAACCUGGACGCAUUCCUGUAGCUCACAAUCAUUUUUUAAACUCAAGAUAAAUUAGUUGGGAAAAGAAGGAAAAUGAUUUACUGGCCAAAGAAAAUAAUUAACAUUCUCUGGAUUGAGAAAACUUCCUUUCAUGGUUUUGCCCUUUGCUUCUUGUCCUGUCAGUGUCCAGUCACCACAGAGAGAGUCUGGUUUACUUUCUUUUGCUCCCCCUGACCAUCACCAGAGAUGACAUGAAUUAUCCUUCUGACACUGGAUCUGAUGUUGAUGCAAGAAGCCUGGACUGGGAGAACAGAAGGUAUUAUCUCCUUUCCCAGCUCCAGAUAAUGCCCAAGCAAAAAAUGCCAGCAAGUUCAGCUGCAGAAGCACUAGCACUGCCAAUGCACUAGAAAUGGGAUUGUGAUGUUGAGCUCUGACAUGGAUAACGUGGAGUCCUUCUCCUCAUGGAAGUGAAGCUGAAGACAGAGUGUUUCUAAUGCAUCUCCAGCACAGAAACCUCCCAUUGAACACAUCUCUUGGGCUGGAGGAUAAGGAUGAGGUGGGGAUAACAUAGAGAAAGUAAAAGAAUCACAAUAGAAAACACUUCUAUUUGCCUACAAGAAGAUCCUGAGUGUGUUCACGUUUGCUAUCAGCUUCCUAAAGAAAAGAGGAAGAGCUUUAAAUCAAGAUGGUUCCCCUGUGGUGGUAUUACACAUCUGCCCUUCUAUCCUUCCUGAGGAAAAUGAUGAUAGACCUCUGAAAAUGACACAGUCCAGCAAUUUGGAUGCUCACAGUCUUCCAGAAGACAACACCAGUAGCAGCAGUUCAAAAUGAUGUCUCAAAUUGCCUUCAUCCAUAUGAACAGCUGAUUCUUCAGUCCUUAUCCAGUGAGGAAAGUUGUGUUUUCAGACAAAAAAAGAUGAUCACAGAGUUGUGGGGGUUGGAAGGGACCUCCGAAGAUCAUCAAGCUCAACUGCCCUGCAAAGCUGGCCCCCUACAGCAGGCUGCACAGGUAGGUGUCCAGGUGGAUCUUGAAUAUCUCCAGAGAAGCAGAAUCCACAACCUGCCUGGGCAGCUUGUUCCUGUGCUCCGUCACCCUCACUCUGAAGAAGUUAUUUUGUAUAUUGAUGUGGAACUUCUUAUACUUCAGUCAUGACUGUUUCCCCUUGUCCUGUCCCCAGAGACCGUGAGAAAAGAGGUUGGCCAUGUCUCCUUGAUUCCCACACAGAUAUUUACGUGCAUUAAUAAGAUCACCUCUCAAUCUUUUCUCAAGGCUGAACGGACCCAGGUCACCCAGCCUCUCCUCACAGGGACUCCAGGCCCUUUAUCAUCUUUGAGGCCCUUUGCUGUACUCUUUCCAGGAGACCCCUGUCUUUUUUGUACUGGGGAGCCCAGACCAGGAUACAGACUGGCCAGGGCAGAGUAGAGGGGGAGGAUCACCUCCCUUGACCUGCUGGCACGUUCCUUUUAAUGCACCCCAGAAAUCCCAUUGGCCUUCUAGGCCACUAGGGCACACUGCAUGGCCAACCUGUUGUCCACAAGACCCCCAGGUUCUUCUCCACAGAGCUCCUCUCUAAGUUCAUGCCUCAGCCUGUUCCCAGGUGCAAGACUCCACUCUUGCUUUUAUUAAACCUCAUUUGGUUUAUUGUUGCCCAGCUCUCCAAUCUGUGCAGGUCUCGCUGAAUGGCAGCACAGCCUUCAGCUGUGUCAGCCACUCCUCCCAACUUUGUAUCAUAGGCAUACUUGCUGAAGGUGGGCGCUAUCCCCUCAUCAAGGCUGUCGAUGAAGACAUUGAACAAGACUGGUCCCAGCACCAACCCUUGGGGAACACUACUACUCGCAGGUCUCCAACCAGACUCUGCAUCACCAGUCACAACCUCUGAGCUCAGCCAGUCAGCCAAUUCUCAAACCAUUUCACAGUCCACUCAUCUAUCCCACACUUUCUCAGCUUCAAGAUCAGGGGAUCAUGUGAGAUGGUAUCAAAAACGUUGUUGAAGUCAAGGUAGAUGACAUCCACUGCUCUCCCCCCAUCUACCUAGCUGGUGAUGCCACCAGAGAAGGCUAUGGGGUUUGUCAAACAUGAUUUUCCCUAGGUGAAUCCAUGCUGAAAAUGAACUUCAGAAGUUCCUGAUUAACUUCUCUUCCAAUUGCUUGGAGAUGACAUCUAGAACAAGCUGUUCCAUCACCUUUCAAGGGACAGAGGUGAGACUGACUGGCCUUGAGUUUCCUGAAUACUCCUUUCCCUUUUUGAAACUGGAUUGACACUAGCUAUCCUCCAGUCUUCAUGCACCUCUUCUGUUCUCCAAGACCUGACAAAGAUGAUAGUGAUUCAACGUUCACCUCUGCCAGCUCCCUCAGCAUGUGUGGAUGCAUCCCAUCAGGGCCCAUUUGUGCACACUGACCCCACCUAAGCUCUCCUGAACCACCCCCUCUUCAACCAGAGGGAAGCUCUCAAUUUCCCGGACUGUCUUCCCUUCAGGCAUCCUGAGGGGGAAUCUUUGAAGUGAAGACCAAAGCAAAGGAGGCAUUCAGCAUCUCCACCUUCUCAGCAUCCCCCAUUACCUGGCCACCUCCCUCAUUCAGCAGGGGACCCACAUUAUCACUAGUCUUCCUUUUACUAUUAACAUACAUUUAAAAACCCCUUCUUAUUAUCCUUACUCCUUCUCCAGCUUCAGCUCCAGGUGAGCUUUAGCCUUCCUCUUCACUUCCCUGCAUGUCCUGACAGCACUCCCUAUGCUUCCCUAUAGGGCAAGAAUUUGUGCUGCAUUUCAUAAGCCUUCUUUUUCCCACCUACUCCCAGAUGGAGCUCAUUACAUUCUAGUUGGUCUCUCGCAUAGAGGGGCAGCUCCUCCACCUUGCUUCCUCAGCCUGACUUUCCAAAAAAGAACAUAAUCCUCCACAGACAGCACUCCAGUCACAUGAGCUGUCCCACCAGGUAUCUGUGCUUGCAGUGAGAAGCUAUCCUGUUAAUUUCCUGUGCUGCACGCAAUGGUAUGCAGGCACUUAAGGGAAGCAGCAGGUGUAAGUAUCCCAUUGUUUUGCCCUGCAACCAUUUUGAAAAUAAGAUUUGCCCUAUUUGUGCUCCAUACUUAAAUUAAUACUACAUAUAGUUUGAGUACCUAUAUGUAAUUGUUAUUUUACACUCUGUCUUGAAAAUGAUUCUUAUUUUUCAUUGUAAAUUAUUUGUGGAGAGGACAUGGUAUGCAUUUAUGAAGUUAAUCUCCAUAAUUAACAAAACCUUCUUCUAUUGUCUACUAAGUUUUCCUGAACUCUUCUUCACAUGCUUGAGCAGAGGUUAAAAGAGUCAAGGUCAGCUGAGAAUCUUCUGACAAAAUAUCUCUGCGCAUGAAAAAGUACGUACAUGUAGGAUAGGAAUUUCAACCAACAGAGCAAAGUCAAUUUAUUUUAUUUUAUUUUUUACACACUGUAGUAAAUUAGUUUUAGCACAGGGCAAGUCUUUGCACUGAUGGGAACUAUGUAAACAUUCAGAGAGAUUCAUUAUCGUUUUAAGCAUUUCCAUCCACUCACGAAUCUUGUUACAGAAGAAAGAAAGAAAGAAAGAAAG